rnacentral:rRNA from 1 species
UACGAAGGGUGCAAGCGUUAAUCGGAAUUACUGGGCGUAAAGCGUGCGUAGGCGGUUUGUUAAGUCUGUUGUGAAAGCCCUGGGCUCAACCUGGGAAUGGCAAUGGAAACUGGCGAGCUAGAGUCAGGUAGAGGGUGGUGGAAUUCCCGGUGUAGCGGUGAAAUGCGUAGAGAUCGGGAGGAACAUCUGUGGCGAAGGCGGCCACCUGGACCAUGACUGACGCUGAGGCACGAAAGCUAGGGGAGCAAACAGG